UACGACUACAUAUCAGGCAUAUCAAUAAGCGGAGGAAAAGAAACUAACUAGGAUUCCCUCAGUAACGGCGAGUGAAGCGGGAAGAGCUCAAAUUUGAAAUCUUCAAGGUUCUACCUUGACGAAUUGUAGUUUAAAGAAGUGUUUUCUGUUGGAGUUUUGGUAAAAGUUCUUUGGAAUAGGACAUCAUAGAGGGUGAGAAUCCCGUAUUUGACCAUUAUUUCCAACUUUGUGAUACACUUUCAAAGAGUCGGAUUGUUUGGGAAUGCAGUCCAAAAUGGGUGGUAAAUUUCAUCUAAAGCUAAAUACUGGCGAGAGACCGAUAGCGAACAAGUACCGUGAGGGAAAGAUGAAAAGAACUUUGAAAAGAGAGUUAAACAGUACGUGAAAUUGUCAAAAGGGAAGCGUUUGACACCAGUGUUGUUUUCUCGAAAAUCAAUUAAAAAUAGAUUGGAUUUUGUGUUGUAUUGACCUUAUAAGCUUUCUGCACUUUUUUCAUGUUUAUUUUUAAUGCACUUUUCGUUUAACAAGUCAACAUCAAUUUCUUUUGUUGUAAAAGGUCAUUGGAAGGUGGCUUUCUUUUCGGAGAAAGUGUUUAUAGCCUUUGACUCCUGCAAUCGGAGAGACUGAGGUCUGCAGCGUAGAUCCUUCGGGAUUAGAUGCAUUUGUGCUAAGUUAUAGCCUUUUCAUAGACAACUUGUUGACUAUGAUUAGUCAUUGUAGCUUACUCGCUUAUGUAUUUUACCUACGCUUAGGAUGUUGACGCGCGUGUGUGCGUG
rnacentral:rRNA from 1 species